UGCUGAAAUGGUGGGCGCAGUCGUUUCUUCCUGGAGUGCCACAGAUAGUCGCUGGGUUUCGAGACCAUGAUGGGAUAGUGGUGUCUGUUGAGACCUUCCAAACCUCGAAAAUUUCACAACUCAUCAAGAAUGAGUAUAACUGCUGGAAGCCAACAGUCUGUAUGAAUUUCUGCAACGAUUUCUUGUCCUUCGUCAAAUCAGUCGUCAAAGAGGACGGCCCUAGACUGGUGUACCUGUUCAAAUGGGAUCCACACAGAGACGUGACCUUCACCGUCCACAGAGACUCUCAGUAUACCUUCUUACCAGAGUGGUACAUAAAGGACAUGAGGAGCCAUCCUUCAUCUCACCACUGACAUACUGAGCUCACAGCCUCAGUACAUCAGGACAUCUUUGUCAUGUUUAUGAUUCAUGUACAUACUAUAUAUGUGCUGUGCAUGACUUGCCAUUGCUUGUGUUUGCUCUGGAUGCUCUGGAUUCAGUUUGUGGCCUUGG